rnacentral:rRNA from 1 species
GAUGAACGCUAGCGGCAGGCUUAAUACAUGCAAGUCGAGGGGCAGCGGGGGUAGCAAUACCUGCCGGCGACCGGCAAACGGGUGCGGAACACGUACACAACCUUCCUUUAAGUGGGGGAUAGCCCAGAGAAAUUUGGAUUAAUACCCCGUAAGAUUAUGAGAUGGCAUCAUUUUAUAAUUAAAGCUCCGGCGCUUAGAGAUGGGUGUGCGGCUGAUUAGGUAGUUGGUGUGGGAACGGCCCACCAAGCCUUCGAUCAGUAACUGGUGUGAGAGCACGACCAGUCACACGGGCACUGAGACACGGGCCCGACUCCUACGGGAGGCAGCAGUAAGGAAUAUUGGUCAAUGGACGCAAGUCUGAACCAGCCAUGCCGCGUGGAGGAUGAAGGUCCUCUGGAUUGUAAGCUUUCUUUUAUCUAGGGAAGAAAAGCUAUUUUUCAAAGUGUCUGACGGUACAGAAGAAUAAGCACCGGCUAACUCCGUGCCAG